rnacentral:sRNA from 1 species
CCCUAGCCCUGAUGGGAGCGGUAUCCUUUUGUGGCGGUUCCGAGGCUUCGGGAGCUGCAAAAGAUAUAGUGGACAGCAUGAUUAACU